CUCCUCUUUAGGGGGGGGGGGUUUGCGCCCCCCCGGCAAUGUCGGGUGACAGGGGGAAAGGGUGUGUUUUUGCAGAGGGAGCGCGAGAGAAGGCUACCCCACAUAUGGAAGGGAGGGGGGGCGCGCAUUUUCCCCUCUUAAUACACGGAGGGAGGGACACGAAAAAACACAACACAACGCUUAGGUUUGGUAAGUGGAAUGAGUUAGGUAUAUACCCCUUUACAAGUAUCUAUUGGAGGGCAAGUCUGGGGCCAGCACCCGCGGUAAUUCCCGCUCCAAUAGAGUAUAUAUAAGUGGUUGCACAUAAAAAAAUCUUAGAUGGAUAUUUGUUUAUUAUUUUUAUAAUAUAAUUAGAGUAUCUUUAUAACACCAACAUAAUUCACACUUUUUUUUUUUAUAGUAUGUGAAAUUUUACUUUGAGAAAAUUAGAGUGCUUAAAGCAGGCAAAUCCCUUGAAUAUUCCAGCAUGGAAUAAUAUUAAAGAUUUUUAUCUUUCUUAUUGGUUCUAGGAUAAAAAUAAUGAUUAAUAGGGACAGUUGGGGGCAUUUGUAUUUAACAGUCAGAGGUGAAAUUCUUAGAUUUGUUAAAGACAAAC
rnacentral:rRNA from 1 species